AACGUCCCAGUUCGGAUUGUAGUCUGCAACCCGACUACAUGAAGCUGGAAUCGCUAGUAAUCGCGAAUCAGAAUGUCGCGGUGAAUACGUUCCCGGGUCUUGUACACACCGCCCGUCACACCAUGGGAGUCGGAAAUGCCCGAAGUCAGUGACCCAACCGCAAGGAGGGAGCUGCCGAAGGUGGAGCCGGUAACUGGGGUGAAGUCGUAACAAGGUAGC
rnacentral:rRNA from 1 species